rnacentral:rRNA from 1 species
GACGAACGCUGGCGGCGUGCUUAACACAUGCAAGUCGAACGGAAAGGCCCUGCUUUUGUGGGGUGCUCGAGUGGCGAACGGGUGAGUAACACGUGAGUAACCUGCCCUUGACUUUGGUAUAACUUCAGGAAACUGGGGCUAAUACCGGAUAGGAGCUCCUGCUGCAUGGUGGGGGUUGGAACGUUUCGGCGGUUGGGGAUGGACUCGCGGCUUAUCAGCUUGUUGGUGGGGUAGUGGCUUACCAAGGCUUUGACGGGUAGCCGGCCUGAGAGGGUGACCGGCCACAUUGGGACUGAGAGACGGCCCAGACUCCUACGGGAGGCAGCAGUGGGGAAUAUUGCACAAUGGGCGGAAGCCUGAUGCAGCAACGCCGCGUGCGGGAUGACGGCCUUCGGGUUGUAAACCGCUUUCGCCUGUGACGAAGCGUGAGUGACGGUAAUGGGUAAAGAAGCACCGGCUAACUACGUG